rnacentral:rRNA from 1 species
GUAGGGAAUAUUGGGCAAUGGAGGCAACUCUGACCCAGCCAUGCCGCGUGCAGGAUGACGGCCCUCUGGGUUGUAAACUGCUUUUAUACGGGAAGAAAAAAUACUACGUGUAGUAUACUGACGGUACCGUAAGAAUAAGGAUCGGCUAACUCCGUGCCAGCAGCCGCGGUAAUACGGAGGAUCCAAGCGGUGUCCGGAUUUAUUGGGUUUAAAGGGUGCGUAGGCGGAUCUUUAAGUCAGUGGGGAAAGCCUGCAGCUUAACUGUAGAAGUGCCAUUGAAACUGAAGAUCUUGAAUGUGGUUAAAGUAGGCGGAAUGUAUCAUGUAGCGGUGAAAUGCUUAGAUAUGAUACAGAACACCGAUAGCGAAGGCAGCUUGCUGAACCAUUAUUGACGCUGAGGCACGAAAGCGUGGGGAGCGAACAGGAUUAGAUACCCUAGUAGUCC